AACGUAGGAGACAAACGUUAUCCGGAGUUACUGGGCGUAAAGGGUGCGUAGGUGGCCAGGAAAGUCUGAUGUGAAAUCUCCGAGCUCAACUCGGAAAUGGCAUUGGAAACUAUUUGGCUAGAGGGUCGGAGGGGGGACUGGAAUUCUCGGUGUAGCAGUGAAAUGCGUAGAUAUCGAGAGGAACACCAGUGGCGAAGGCGAGUCCCUGGACGACUCCUGACACUGAGGCACGAAAGCUAGGGGAGCAAACAGG
rnacentral:rRNA from 1 species